UUAUGGGCGGGGCUUACGUUGCCAGAGCGGAACUGGGGCGGGGCCUCGGCCCAGGACUCGGAAGAUCCGGAGCUACCUGUUUUUAACUCUGUCCUCCGCAAUCUCCGCUGUGGGACAAGUUGAGGUUCGUCUCGGAGAGGUGAAGUGAUCUGACAGAAGCGUAAAAGUCAAUACGUGGUAGAAAUUAGAUUUUUCACCCAGUCCUUCUAACGCCAUUAAGAUAAUUCUCAGAAAAUAGUAACAUUUUUGUUCUCACAUCAAUGUAAAUAUCAACAAACGUUAAAGAUUGUAUUCUACUCGUUAAUCAGAGACAAGUGUUUAACCAAUGCAAAAAGGACUAAAAAAAGAGUCCCAUCUAUGGAAGGAUCUGGAAAGUAAUAGACAGCUGUGGACCGCGGAAGCCAGGAAUCAGUUCGUGGCGCGGGCAGUUGUCCACUGACACAGUUCUUCCGGCAUCUCCACGCCAAGUGUGCAGGGACAUCUCCAGCGGGAGCUCAGAGGAACGUGGCCACUGUGUUCUGAGCUUCCCAGGUGCUCGAUCUCAAUUUGGUCUGUAUUGAACUGAAAGUUUCCAAGGCCUCACCUGUACCUCAGUAAUAAAAAGAAAGAGCUGGCUUCUGGUCUUGGGGAGCAGAAAAAGGAAAGUCACCUGGCGUAGAGAACAGUGGGACUUGGUGAUCUCUGCCUGGUUCCUGUGGCUCCUUAUCUCCAGACCUAGCCUGGAGAUCCCUGUAUCUGCCUUGAGCCUUGCACUGGCUCCAGCUGGAGCUCCAGACUCCUCUGAGACCUGACUGAGCCCCUGCAACCCCAGGCUUGUAGGGUUUCCAGAUAAAAUACAGACCACCCAGUUAUAUUUGAAUUCCAAAUAAAUGAUGAAUGGGGCUUAUGCUGAAAACUUAUUCCUUGUUUAUCCAAAAUUCAAACUGAA